rnacentral:rRNA from 1 species
GAUGAACGCUGGCGGCGUGCCUAAUACAUGCAAGUCGAGCGAACAGACGAGGAGCGUUCUCCCCUGACGUUAGCGGCGGACGGGUGAGUAACGCGUGGAUAACCUACCUAUAAUACUGGGAUGACUUCGGGAAACCGGAGAUAAUACCAGAUAAUAUAUCGAACCGGAUGGAUCAAUAGUGAAAGACGGUUUUGCUGUCACUUAUAGACGGAUCCGCGCCGGAUUAGCUAGUUGGUAAGGUAACGGCUUACCAAGGCAACGAUGCGUAGCCGACCUGAGAGGGUGAUCAGCCACACUGGAACUGAGACACGGUCCAGACUCCUACGGGAGGCAGCAGUGGGGAAUAUUGGGCAAUGGGCGAAAGCCUGACGGAGCAACGCCGCGUGAGUGAUGAAGGUCUUCGGGUCGUAAAGCUCUGUUAUUGGGGAAGAAAAAAUGUGUAAGAAAAUAUGCACGUCUUGACGGUACCUAAUGAGUAAGCCACGGCUAACUACGUG